GUGCUUGCUUUGGAAGCACAUAUACUAAAAUUGGAAUGAUAGAGAAGAUUAGCUUGGCCUCUGUGCAAGGAUGGCAUGCAAAUUCAUGAAGUGUUCCAUAUUUAA